ensembl:lncRNA
AUGAGUAGUGACAGACAUGCAGCUUCACCUGCUGAACAUCACGUCUUUGGCUGUCAGCAGCUGCAAAGCUGCAGUCUGCAUCAGUCAGACCUUCAGAAGUGCUCUAGCUGCUGUGAACGGUCAAAGACGGAUGUGGGAAAGAAGCGCCGUAACAGAAAACGUAAGGCGACCUCCAACGCCAAUCACGACUUUCACCUCACGAAGUCCCCAUCCGCUCUUAAAACCUGUCUUUUUCUACGACAUAGUGUCUGCAGAGCAGCAGGAUUAGAAAUGUACCUCUGGGUUGUGGGCGGGACUGUUGGCGUGGAGCUUCCCGUCACCCAUGUGUUUACAGAUGUUCUCCAGCUGGCUUACAGCCUCUUACACCCUCCCCACCCGACUGAUUGGCCCGCCGAUAAUAGCACUGACAUCACACCUCCAAUCUUUUUCAAAUGCAUUUUUCCGUCUGCUACUGGUUCACAAGGAUUUGAACAAAGACAUGCGCAGUCAUGCCAUUCUGAGGUUCAUUUUCGUUACACAUGAGAACAAUGCCAUUUUUAUUGGAGUCUGUCUUUAAGGUAUCUGAGAAACUUCUGCAUCUACCUGCGUGACAGAAAGCUCCUCCCCUUUCCGCUCCACUCAUGCCAGUUCUGAGUUUCUAUGCUGGACCACACUGCCUCCCUGCAGGCCACUUUCCUGCUGGAGCUUCACAUGAACCCUUCUCUGCUCCACAGACACUCUGACUGUCCUCUGGCAGCUCCAACUGCUGUGGACCGCCAAGUGAACACUGGUGUGGAUCACUGCAGCACUGAUGCAGGCGCAGGUCACAGCAGAGCAGAGGUGGAGGGGAAGUAAAGAAAUAAACCAGAGAAAAAAGUGAGAAUCGAGAAAAAGUUGAGCAGACGCUAAGUGACGAGGCAGAAGAUCUGAACUCCUCAGAUGAAGAGCAGCUGCUGGAACUGUGGAUGGGCGAGAAAACCAAACCACCGCAUUUUUCAUUCUCUCCAUUGAGGCAGCAUCUCCCCAAAUAAAGAAAGUGCUCCCAAAGUAAAGUAGGAUGUGAUGCUGGGAGUCUGAGAGGCUGAUGGGUGUCAUUCUGAGGAGCAGCAGCUGUGAAGACCAUCCCUGUGGAAAGAGCCUGACUGGCAAUUUGGUGUUGAGCUUUCCCUCCACAGACUGACUGCCAGCUGUCAACCCGUCAGGACAAACUUAGAUUUCCAGCUGACAGAGGAGGAGACAUUUCUCUGCAUUCUUAGUCAUCAUCGCGUCUAAAGUCUCUGUUCGGCUUUUUCUGUUCGGCUCUGGGAGUCAUGUGACCAAAACGUAUCAGAUAGCAGCGAGGUAGUUAAACGUCUCAAAUGACCCAACAGGAGCCGUGUGCAGGUCAGAAUGCCUCGACCACACCCAAUGACCUUUGACCCCCACAGAGGCCUUUCUGCUGCGGUUAAGGUGCCGCCGUUCCGUUUCUCUGGGAAAUCCCGUUACACGUCAGAGGUUUUGGCAGCGCCUCACAAAAGACCAGCGCAGAAAAGCCGCCUGUGAGCGCAGAGAGUCUCAGGUGAAGCUCGGGUGGGUCACACCGGCAGCACCUCGCCAGCUCUGAGCUGGUGCUGACCCCCCCAGCUGGCGCUGUCUGGAGGGACUGGUUCUGGCCGAGCCUUAAACGGCCUCAAUCAGGGUCCACUUCCACUGGGGAUCCAACGGUUCACUUUCUCCACGACCGGGUUCUGACCUCCACUUUUGGGUCACGGUUUUGUGUCAGUUCAAUAAAUAAUUCCUGUUUUAAAGAACAACAAAGAAA